rnacentral:rRNA from 1 species
GAUGAAUGCUGGCGGCAUGCCUAAUACAUGCAAGUCGAGCGGUAAGGCCCUUCGGGUACACGAGCGGCGGACGGCUGAGUAACGCGUGGGAACAUGCCCCAAAGUGAGGGAUAACGCACCGAAAGGUGUGCUAAUACCGCAUAUGGUCUUCGGAUUAAAGGAUUAUCCGCUUUGGGAGUGGCCCGCGUACGAUUAGAUUGUUGGUGAGGUAACGGCUCACCAAGUCGACGAUCGUUAACUGGUCUGAGAGGAUGAUCAGUCAGACUGGAACUGAGACACGGUCCAGACUCCUACGGGAGGCAGCAGUUAAGGAAUCUUCCACAAUGGGCGAAAGCCUGAUGGAGCAACGCCGCG